AACGGUGGUAAUGCCGGAUGCUCCGACUCCUCGCAUGGGGUGUCGGGAAAGAUUUCAUCGGUAUGGGAUGGGGUCGCGUCCUAUCAGGUAGUCGGCGGGGUAACGGCCCACCGAGCCUACGACGGGUAGCCGGCCUGAGAGGGCGACCGGCCACAUUGGGACUGAGAUACGGCCCAGACUCCUACGGGAGGCAGCAGUGGGGAAUAUUGCACAAUGGGCGCAAGCCUGAUGCAGCGACGCCGCGUGCGGGAUGACGGCCUUCGGGUUGUAAACCGCUUUUGAUCGGGAGCAAGCCUUCGGGUGAGUGUACCUUUCGAAUAAGCACCGGCUAACUACGUGCCAGCAGCCGCGGUAAUACGUAGGGUGCAAGCGUUAUCCGGAAUUAUUGGGCGUAAAGGGCUCGUAGGCGGUUCGUCGCGUCCGGUGUGAAAGUCCAUCGCUUAACGGUGGAUCUGCGCCGGGUACGGGCGGGCUGGAGUGCGGUAGGGGAGACUGGAAUUCCCGGUGUAACGGUGGAAUGUGUAGAU
rnacentral:rRNA from 1 species